UUGUGGCAUUCUAGGAGAUGCCCAUUGAGAGAGAAUCUCAUUUUUCUCAAGAUAUGUCAAAAAUUCACUAGAAUAAUAUUACCUUCUCGAUUUGAUCGAAGAGUUUUAAUAUUCUUUUCACUUUGUUUCUCUACCUCAUUAUAGAACCGUUUGAACAUUUCAAAUGUUCAGACUUAUAUUUCAUCAAGUAGAUGUACCCAUACCU
rnacentral:lncRNA from 1 species